rnacentral:rRNA from 1 species
AAGCUCGUAGUUGAAUUUCGGGGUUAGUAGGUUGGUCAUGCCUCUGGUAUGUACUGGUCUCACUGAUUCCUCCUUCCUUAUGAACCGUAAUGCCAUUAAUUUGGUGUUGCGGGGAAUUUGGACUGUUACUUUGAAAAAAUUAGAGUGUUUAAAGCAAGCUAACGCUUGAAUACAUUAGCAUGGAAUAAUGGAAUAGGACGUUCGAUCUUAUUUUGUUGGUUUCUUAGGAUUGACGUAAUGAUUAAUAGGGAUAGUUGGG